UCUCGGCUAACGUUAGCUAAAUAUUAGUUGUAACUGUGCAAAUUGUUGUCACUUUUACCCACCAUGCUCGACAUCGACGAUAACAUUUGCGUUUCCGGACGACUUUAAUUGGACCUAUAUUACCGUUUCGAUUAUUUUGUCGCAGUUGCUCUUUGUUUUCAGUUGCUGAAAAACUCCACUAACCGUCAGCCCUCUGUUCUUCAGGAGUCACGAGGUAACGCUAGCCUGAGAGCAGUUGGCUCACUGGUUACUACCGACGUACUUGUGAGGAAUGGCUCGGAUUUGAGCUGAACUGCACCGCUGAAACUGUGGCGUUAGCCUACGCUCAGCAAGUUCACCAUGAUGCCCAGUCUGGGUCUGGUAAGAGUCAAAAAAAGAGGUUAGAUCUGAAAUCAAAGAUGUUCUGAGUCAUUGCGCCAGAAAAUGACAGAGGAGAGGACGGAUCGCAGAGCAGUGCAGUAGCUCUUGGUCUUACACGACUGAUCUUGGUGGGAAAGAGGCUGAUGUCAGGAUUGUUGCAACACCUAAAUUGCACACGUUUCUCAAAAUAUGACGUUUGAGUUGUCGAGCAGCGUGACACUGCUGUUUGACUUCUGGGAUGUCCACGGGCCUGCAGGUAAGCUGC